CAAACUUAACGGCUUCCCUGCGGCACUGAGUUAGCAAUAAGCCAACUCAUCACCGAGUCUGCAUCGUUUACAGCUGGGACUACCCGGGUAUCUAAUCCGGUUUGCUCCCCCAGCUUUCAUCCCUCACCGUCGAGCGCGUUCUGGCAAGCCGCCUUCGCCACUGGUGGUCUUCAAUGGAUCAACGGAUUUUACCCCUACCCAUCGAGUACCGCUUGCCUCUCCCGCCUCCUAGCUCUAUAGUAUCUUCCGCAGCCCAUCUGUUAAGCAGGUGGAUUUAACGGAAGACUUGUAGAACCGGCUACGGAUGCUUUAGGCCCAAUAAACGUCCCGACCACUCGGGGUGCUGGUAUUACCGCGGCGGCUGACACCAGACUUGCCCACCCCUUAUUCUGCACCAUUUUUAGAGGUGCCAAAAGAUCUCCUUAACGGAAAUCACUCAGAGUAACCCUGUCAAGCUUUCGCCUAUUGCAGAGGUUUCGCGCCUGCUGCGCCCCAUAGGGCCUGGGCCCUUGUCUCAGUGCCCAUCUCCGGGCUCCUCCUCUCAGAGCCCGUACCGGUUACAGGUUUGGUGGGCCAUUACCUCACCAACAGCCUGAUCGGCCGCAGUCCAAUCCAGGGGCCAUAUAGAUUUAAGUCAUUACCCAUUCCAGAAGUGAUGACCUAUCGCGGUUUAUCCUCAGUUUCCCGAGGUUAUCCACGUCCCCUGGGCAUGUUGACUACGUGUUACUGAGCCGUAUGCCACAUAUUGCUAUGUUGACUCGCAUGGCUUAGUCCCACUCUGAUAGCAGUCGGGUCCGGCAGGAUCAACCGGA
rnacentral:rRNA from 1 species